GAACAAAAGAAAAUGUGGACACUGAGGAAACACAGUUACCAGCCUCAUACAAAUAUAAAGACGUUUGUCGGGGCUGACCUUAAGAUGCCUGUACGUGACUGCAGCCACUCUGGUCUCUGAAACAAUGUCAGGACAGGGUGAGAGAAGAACUGCAUCUGAAAUGAGUCACUCCAAGAAGCAUUCUGACACUGAAAGUGUCACAGAGAAGAGACCAGAGUCACCUACACAGAGCUGUGUGUCCAUGAAGAGUGAUUCAUCAAAGGACUUCAACCCACCCAACUUCAGAGAGGGAGAGCUGCCCUCUGAGCAAAGUGUCACAGAGAAGAGACCAGAGUCACCUACACAGAGCUGUGUGUCCAUGAAGAGCGAUUCAUCAAAGGACUUCAACCCACCCAACUUCAGAGAG
ensembl:lncRNA